rnacentral:tRNA from 1 species
CGCGGGGUGGAGCAGUCUGGUAGCUCGUCAGGCUCAUAACCUGAAGGUCGCGAGGUUCAAAUCCCGCCCCCGCAACCA